rnacentral:tRNA from 1 species
GGGGAUGUAGCUCAGUGGUAGAGCGCCUGCUUUGCAUGUAGGAGGUCCCCAGCAUCUGCU